rnacentral:rRNA from 1 species
ACUCAAAUGAAUUGACGGGGGCCCGCACAAGCAGUGGAGCAUGUGGUUUAAUUCGAAGCAACGCGAAGAACCUUACCAGGUCUUGACAUCCUCUGACAACUCUAGAGAUAGAGCCUUCCCCUUCGGGGGACAGAGUGACAGGUGGUGCAUGGUUGUCGUCAGCUCGUGUCGUGAGAUGUUGGGUUAAGUCCCGUAACGAGCGCAACCCUUAAUCUUAGUUGCCAGCAUUCAGUUGGGCACUCUAAGGUGACUGCCGGUGAUAAACCGGAGGAAGGUGGGGAUGACGUCAAAUCAUCAUGCCCCUUAUGACCUGGGCUACACACGUGCUACAAUGGGUGGUACAAAGGGAAGCGAAGCCGCGAGGUGGAGCCAAUCCCAUAAAGCCACUCUCAGUUCGGAUUGCAGGCUGCAACUCGCCUGCAUGAAGCCGGAAUUGCUAGUAAUCGCGGAUCAGCAUGCCGCGGUGAAUACGUUCCCGGGCCUUGUACACACCGCCCGU